rnacentral:rRNA from 1 species
UGGGGAAUUUUGGACAAUGGGCGAAAGCCUGAUCCAGCAAUGCCGCGUGUGUGAAGAAGGCCUUCGGGUUGUAAAGCACUUUUGUCCGGAAGGAAAUCCUUGGCUCUAAUACAGUCGGGGGAUGACGGUACCGGAAGAAUAAGCACCGGCUAACUACGUGCCAGCAGCCGCGGUAAUACGUAGGGUGCAAGCGUUAAUCGGAAUUACUGGGCGUAAAGCGUGCGCAGGCGGUUUGCUAAGACCGAUGUGAAAUCCCCGGGCUCAACUUGGGAACUGCAUUGGUGACUGGCAGGCUAGAGUAUGGCAGAGGGGGGUAGAAUUCCACGUGUAGCAGUGAAAUGCGUAGAGAUGUGGAGGAAUACCGAUGGCGAAGGCAGCCCCCUGGGCCAAUACUGACGCUCAUGCACGAAAGCGUGGGGAGCAAACAGGAUUAGAUACCCUGGUAGUCCACGCCCUAAAACGAUGUCAACUAGUUGUUGGGGAUUCAUUUCCUUAGUAACGUAGCUAACGCGUGAAGUUGACCGCCUGGGGAGUACGGUCGCAAGAUUAAAACUUAAAGGAAUUGACGGGGUCAUAGCUGUUUCCU